rnacentral:rRNA from 1 species
UAACACGUGGGUAACCUGCCCAUCAGAAGGGGGUAACACUUGGAAACAGGUGCUAAUACCGUAUAACACUAUUUUCCGCAUGGAAGAAAGUUGAAAGGCGCUUUUGCGUCACUGAUGGAUGGACCCGCGGUGCAUUAGCUAGUUGGUGAGGUAACGGCUCACCAAGGCCACGAUGCAUAGCCGACCUGAGAGGGUGAUCGGCCACACUGGGACUGAGACACGGCCCAG